rnacentral:rRNA from 1 species
GACGAACGCUGGCGGCGUGCUUAACACAUGCAAGUCGAACGGAAAGGCCCGGCUUUUGUGGGGUGCUCGAGUGGCGAACGGGUGAGUAACACGUGAGUAACCUGCCCUUGACUUUGGGGUAACUUCAGGAAACUUGGGCUAAUACCGGAUAGGAUCUCCUGCUGCAUGGUGGGGGUGGGAAAGUUUCGCCGGUUGGGGAUGGACUCGCGCCGUAUCAGGUUGUUGGGUGGGUAGUGGCUGACCAAGGCUUUGCCCGGUAGCCGGCCUGAGAGGGGGACCGGACCAGUCGGGACGGAAAUGAGGCACGGCCUACUACGGGACGGAGGGGUGCGGAAGGGUGUAUUAUGGGAGGGACCCAAGUCUAGCACAGCCGUGUCGGGGAUGACGGCCUGCGGGUUGUGUACCGCUUUUGCCUGUGCCGAGGUGAGAGUGACGGUACUGGGUAAAGAAGCACCGGCUAACUACGUG